AGUGAACGCUGGCGGUAGGCCUAACACAUGCAAGUCGAACGGCAGCACAGUAAGAGCUUGCUCUUACGGGUGGCGAGUGGCGGACGGGUGAGGAAUACAUCGGAAUCUACUUUUUCGUGGGGGAUAACGUAGGGAAACUUACGCUAAUACCGCAUACGACCUACGGGUGAAAGCAGGGGAUCUUCGGACCUUGCGCGAUUGAAUGAGCCGAUGUCUGAUUAGCUAGUUGGCGGGGUAAAGGCCCACCAAGGCGACGAUCCGUAGCUGGUCUGAGAGGAUGAUCAGCCACACUGGAACUGAGACACGGUCCAGACUCCUACGGGAGGCAGCAGUGGGGAAUAUUGGACAAUGGGCGCAAGCCUGAUCCAGCCAUACCGCGUGGGUGAAGAAGGCCUUCGGGUUGUAAAGCCCCUUUGUUGGGAAAGAAAAGCAGCAGGUUAAUACCCCGCUGUUCUGACGGUACCCAAAGAAUAAGCACCGGCUAACUUCGUG
rnacentral:rRNA from 1 species